GACGAACCGAGCGAACGUUGUUCGGAAUCACUGGGCUUAAAGGGCGCGUAGGCGGGUGCUCAAGUCUGUGGUGAAAUCCUCCGGCUCAACCGGAGAACUGCCAUGGAUACUGGGUGCCUCGAGGGUGGUAGGGGUAUGCGGAACUAUCGGUGGAGCGGUGAAAUGCGUUGAUAUCGAUAGGAACUCCGGUGGCGAAGGCGGCAUACUGGACCACUUCUGACGCUGAGGCGCGAAAAGCCCAGGGGGAGCGAACGGGG
rnacentral:rRNA from 1 species